rnacentral:rRNA from 1 species
UAGGGAAUCUUCGGCAAUGGACGAAAGUCUGACCGAGCAACGCCGCGUGAGUGAAGAAGGUUUUCGGAUCGUAAAACUCUGUUGUUAGAGAAGAACAAGGACGUUAGUAACUGAACGUCCCCUGACGGUAUCUAACCAGAAAGCCACGGCUAACUACGUGCCAGCAGCCGCGGUAAUACUUAGGUGGCAAGCGUUGUCCGGAUUUAUUGGUCGUAAAGCGAGCGCAGGCGGUUUCUUAAGUCUGAUGUGAAAGCCCCCGGCUCAACCGGGGAGGGUCAUUGGAAACUGGGAGACUUGAGUGCAGAAGAGGAGAGUGGAAUUCCAUGUGUAGCGGUGAAAUGCGUAGAUAUAUGGAGGAACACCAGUGGCGAAGGCGGCUCUCUGGUCUGUAACUGACGCUGAGGCUCGAAAGCGUGGGGAGCAAACAGG